rnacentral:rRNA from 1 species
GACGAACGCUGGCGGCGUGCUUAACACAUGCAAGUCGAGCGGUAAGGCCCUUUCGGGGGUACACGAGCGGCGAACGGGUGAGUAACACGUGGGUGACCUGCCCUUAGCUCUGGGAUAAGCCUGGGAAACUGGGUCUAAUACCGGAUAUGACUCCAUGACGCAUGUUGUGGGGUGGAAAGCCUUGUGCGGCUAGGGAUGGGCCCGCGGCCUAUCAGCUUGUUGGUGGGGUGAUGGCCUACCAAGGCGACGACGGGUAGCCGGCCUGAGAGGGCGACCGGCCACACUGGGACUGAGGCACGGCCCAGACUCCUACGGGAGGCAGCAGUGGGGAAUCUUGCGCAAUGGGCGAAAGCCUGACGCAGCGACGCCGCGUGGGGAUGACGGCCUCGGUUGUAAC